rnacentral:rRNA from 1 species
GAUGAACGCUAGCGGCAUGCCUAACACAUGCAAGUCGAACGAGACCUUCGGGUCUAGUGGCGCACGGGUGCGUAACGCGUGGGAAUCUGCCCUUGGGUUCGGAAUAACAGCGAGAAAUUGCUGCUAAUACCGGAUGAUGACGUAAGUCCAAAGAUUUAUCGCCCAAGGAUGAGCCCGCGUAGGAUUAGCUAGUUGGUGAGGUAAAGGCUCACCAAGGCGACGAUCCUUAGCUGGUCUGAGAGGAUGAUCAGCCACACUGGGACUGAGACACGGCCCAGACUCCUACGGGAGGCAGCAGUGGGGAAUAUUGGACAAUGGGCGAAAGCCUGAUCCAGCAAUGCCGCGUGAGUGAUGAAGGCCUUAGGUUGUAAAGCUCUUUACCCGGGAUGAUAAUGACAGUACCGGGAGAAUAAGCUACCGGCUAACUCCGUGCC